rnacentral:rRNA from 1 species
UACGAAGGGGGCUAGCGUUGCUCGGAAUUACUGGGCGUAAAGCGCACGUAGGCGGCUUUCUAAGUCGGGGGUGAAAUCCUGGAGCUCAACUCCAGAACUGCCUUCGAUACUGAAGAGCUCGAGUCCGGGAGAGGUGAGUGGGAACUGCGAGUGUAGAGGUGAAAUUCGUAGAUAUUCGCAAGAACACCAGUGGCGAAGGCGGCUCACUGGCCCGGUACUGACGCUGAGGUGCGAAAGCGUGGGGAGCA